GGGGCUCCAGUGUGGCUUUGAUGCCGUGAGGUGUUGAGCUGAGGUAGCUUGGUCACCAGCACGGCCAUUCACGUCUUGCAAGAUUUAGUCAAAUUGUAGAAGUUUAUAAAGAUGUUACACGUACCAACAAUUCUACACAUGGAGUCAUGAGACAAUGAUUGUUGACAACCUCAUGUAAAGGACAAUGAGAAGUGUAGCUCACAGCCAGGAUGCCUUUGAGUUCCUCAGCCACCACUUCAUAUCAGAAGAUCUUAAGAAUCAGGAAAAGUUUGCUCACUACUCAGUCUCCUUGACAUCUAAAGGAUGUGAUAUAGGACAGUUAUAAAUGAACCUUUGGCUUACGCGGAGACAUCAGGCAGACUGAGAAGGAACCAUCUGACAUGUCCCCACCCUCACUGUACUGAGGAAGGCAGAUGCUGAAGUGUGAUUUUUUCAAUGGCUGACAUACAACCAACUUGUCUUCAGUUUCCAGAUGAAAUAAUAAAUAACAUCUGAUGCUUAAUCGAAUGAAAAAAUAAACAGAAGUUUUAUUCUCUUGGCCUCUUCUAAUUCAAUUGAAAAAUUAAAUAUGCUUACACUUUCCAUGUUAUUUUCUUUUAAUUUCUGUUCAUAAUCCUUAUAUGAAAAGUGGACCAAUUCUGAUACCAUUGUAUCAUUAAUGAUUUCAUUCUGAUGCUAACUGGUGCUCCAUAAUACAGUAGUAUGAUGUGAAACCGAUUAUGCUAAGUAUUUUGCAGGUGGAGAUAGGAAAUUACUUGUCAGGAAUGGUCUUUAAUAUGGUUCUCACUGUAUUUAACUAACCUGCUAAUUACUGUGCAUUGCAACAGGCAAAAUUUUCUUUUGCCCUGAAUAUUGUUCAUAUGUACAGCAGAGUAACUGUUAGCUGCAAAACCAUCACAAAUAAAUCGUUUGAUAUUUCUGCCUUUUUAUGAAAUACUGCUUGGUUACAAGGUGGGAGGCUAUUUCUUAACCUUUGGCUCAUUAUUUUGGCUU